ACUCGAUGUGGCUUUUAGGGAGGUGAUUACAUGAGACAGGAAUCCAGGCCUCCAAAUCCUGGCCCUUAAUUCUCAGUGGGUGGAGCUGAAUUGGGAUUGCAGCCUCAGAUCUCUAUCAAUAACAGGGUGCAUCUCACAGCAGAUCUGCCCUUCCCUUCCGCAGCUCCCAGGGGUGCUGGGCUGAGGGAUGAGUCUGUGGGGGAACCCAGGGCUAGAGUGGCAGGAGCAGUUUGUCGCCCUUUCCAUGGAGCGUAUUGCACCCAUCCCAUUCACAAUAUGGCAGUCCUGGGUCCACUAUACCCAGCUCUGCUGGUGCCCUAUAGUUCUUGUAGCUCUGGGCUCCCCUCCUCACCCAGUGGCCCUCAAUCCCAAUCAGAGCUCCGCCAAUUCCCCUUAAUCCUGACCCAUGUUCCCUCUGCUAUUCCAGACCCAGGCUCUGCCCCCCACCUGCUCCGCGGAUGCCCCUGUGUCCUGACUUUCAGUCCCCACUUCUUACUUCAAGCCCUGGGCUUCCCCGAACUUUGCUUAUGCCCCUCAACCCUGACCCACAGUCCCCACAGCUGUUCCAGCCCAGCUCUGCCAGUGGCCCUCAGUCCUGACCUGCAGCCCUCUGCCAUCCAUGCCCUGAGCUCUUCUGGUGCCCCUCCAUCCCCACCUGCAGCCUUCUGCUGUCCCAGCCCUGAGCUACCCCGCCCGCAGCCAGCUUUGGCGCUGCUCCUGCUUCCAGACCUGCAACACACCUGCUGACUUCCACUGCUUCCUUUCCAGGUCCCGUCUCGUUACCGCCUGUAUCGGAGACCUCCUCUGCCAGAGAGGAGACUGCCAAUGCAGCUGGAGAGGGAAGUAGCCGAGGGACACUUUCCAACAGCUCUCCGGAGGGGGAUCAGCAAGCUGAGAUGGGAGCUUCCUGGCAGCAGCUGCCUCCAUCCCCCACCCCCACUCUGUGGAGAUGGGGCACAGGGGGAGGGGGACAUCCCCACAUCAGCACCUCUCUCCCUCCAUCCCCCCUCUGCACAGCAAGCAGGAGUCUCUGGGAGCAGCUCCAAGGCAGAGGGCAGGAGCAGCACAUGGCAGUGGAGGGAGGGACAGCUGAACUGCCCAGCAAUUGAUACCCUGCUGGGUGGCUGCUGCACAGGGAACUUAGGGGAGCUGAUGGGGGGGCUGCCGGUCCACCCUGGUUCCAAGCCCCCACCCUUAGCUCCAACGGGCUGCUCUUUCUGCAAGCAGUGGACAAAGCAGGCGGCUGGCCAAAGGAGGUUAGAACGGAGCAUUGCGCAACUUUAAAUGAGCAUGUUCUCGAAUUGAUCAGCAACGAAACAACGUUAACUGGGACUAUGUUAAGUGAGGCGUUACUGUACUUUAUGUCCGCUGGAAAUGUGGGGGAGAAGGACCAGGAACCCGUCGCGGUUGUGAAGAGGAAGGGAUCUCGGACUCAGCGGAGUCACCGUUUGCGUGCCGGCUCGUGUCUCGCAGCAGCAGGAGGCUGGAAGCCAAUGGAGAGGCUGGCGAAGAGAUCUCACUGGAGGGCCAUUUGGCCUGGGCCUCAAGCUCAAAGGGGGCCUCCGCUUUAGACACUUGUUCAUUUUUUGGCAUUUGAUAAGUUUCACAACUUGUUUGUGAGCAUCCCUAUCGGACCAAAAUGUGACACACAGGCUCAGCUUAGAGCUGCAAAUUUAAGCAAAGAAGAGAUGUGAUUUGGUAAAAGACAGAAUUUUUUUGCUAACUGAUACAGA